AAUAAACUAAUCUUUCACUUUUUACCUACAAUGUUUUAAGUUUUCAUCUUAUUUAAAUUUUUUUAUGAUUAACAUUUUUGUUUUUAUUAGAUGAUAAAUUAUGAAUAGUACUUUAUGUGUGACUAUUUUUUUAAAAUUUUUUGAAUUUUUUUCAAAUAAGACGGAUGGUCAAACGCUAGACAUGAAAAUCGAAAGUUUGCCUUUUU
rnacentral:pre_miRNA from 1 species